AACGCACAUUGCGCCCCCUGGUAUUCCGGGGGCAUGCCUGUCCGAGCGUCAUUUCUGCCCUCAAGCACGGCUUGUGUGUUGGGCCCCGUCCUCCGAUCCCGGGGGGCGGGCCCGAAAGGCAGCGGCGGCACCGCGUCCGGUCCUCGAGCGUAUGGGGCUUUGUCACCCGCUCUGUAGGCCCGGCCGGCGCUUGCCGAUCAACCCAAAUUUUUAUCCAGGUUGACCUCGGAUCAGGUAGGGAUACCCGCUGAACUUAA
rnacentral:misc_RNA from 1 species